rnacentral:pre_miRNA from 1 species
AGUGCAAUUGCUGGGUCAUGUGGUAAGAGUAUGUUUAGCUUUGCAAGAAACUCCUAAUCUGUCUUCCAAAGUGGCUUUACCAUUUUGAAUUUCCACCAGCAAU